AGCGAACGCUGGCGGCAGGCUUAACACAUGCAAGUCGAGCGGGCACUUUCGGGUGUCAGCGGCGGACGGGUGAGUAACGCGUGGGAACGUGCCCUCUGGUUCGGAAUAACUCAGGGAAACUUGAGCUAAUACCGGAUACGCCCUUUUGGGGAAAGGCUUGCUGCCGGAGGAUCGGCCCGCGUCUGAUUAGCUAGUUGGUGAGGUAACGGCUCACCAAGGCGACGAUCAGUAGCCGGUCUGAGAGGAUGAUCAGCCACACUGGGACUGAGACACGGCCCAGACUCCUACGGGAGGCAGCAGUGGGGAAUAUUGGACAAUGGGCGCAAGCCUGAUCCAGCCAUGCCGCGUGAGUGAUGAAGGCCUUAGGGUUGUAAAGCUCUUUUAUCCGGGACGAUAAUGACGGUACCGGAGGAAUAAGCCCCGGCUAACUUCGUG
rnacentral:rRNA from 1 species